AGCCUUCAGCAAACAACAAGUAUUGAAGGUGAUGCCUGCCCAGUGACCCUCAAAGUUCAACGGCCGCGGUAUCCUAACCGUGCGAAGGUAGCGCAAUCAAUUGUCCCAUAAAUUGAGACUUGUAUGAAUGGCUAAACGAGGUCUUAACUGUCUCUUGCUGGUAAUCAGUGAAAUUAGUAUUCCCGUGCAAAAACGAGAAUGUGACCAUAAGACGAGAAGACCCUGUGGAACUUAAAAAUAACGACCACCCCUACACAAACCUCGCCCACCGGGCCCACUCACACUAAAUACCUGGUCGACAUUUUUCGGUUGGGGCGACCUUGGAGAAAAAUAAAUCCUCCAAACCCACAGACCACAACUCUUCACCAAGAUCAACUUAUCAAAGUACUAAUAGUAAUUAGACCCAAUACAAUUGACCAAUGAACCAAGCUACCCCAGGGAUAACAGCGCAAUCUCCUCCAAGAGCCCGUAUCGACAAGGAGGUUUACGACCUCGAUGUUGGAUCAGGACAUCCUAAUGGUGCAGCCGCUAUUAAGGGUUCGUUUGUUCAACGAUUAAUAGUCCU
rnacentral:rRNA from 1 species